AGUGAACGCUGGCGGUAGGCCUAACACAUGCAAGUCGAACGGCAGCACAGUAAGAGCUUGCUCUUACGGGUGGCGAGUGGCGGACGGGUGAGGAAUACAUCGGAAUCUACUUUUUCGUGGGGGAUAACGUAGGGAAACUUACGCUAAUACCGCAUACGACCUACGGGGGAAAGCAGGGGAUCUUCGGACCUUGCGCGAUUGAAUGAGCCGAUGUCGGAUUAGCUAGUUGGCGGGGUAAAGGCCCACCAAGGCGACGAUCCGUAGCUGGUCUGAGAGGAUGAUCAGCCACACUGGAACUGAGACACGGUCCAGACUCCUACGGGAGGCAGCAGUGGGGAAUAUUGGACAAUGGGCGCAAGCCUGAUCCAGCCAUCCCGCGUGGGUGACGAAGGCCUUCGGGUUGUAAAGCCCUUUUGUUGGGAAAGAAAAGCAGCAGGUUAAUACCCCGCUGUUCUGACGGUACCCAAAGAAUAAGCACCGGCUAACUUCGUG
rnacentral:rRNA from 1 species